rnacentral:rRNA from 1 species
AUGAACGCUGGCGGCGUGUCUAAGGCAUGCAAGUCGAAUGGGUUUAGACCCAUGGCAAACGGGUGCGUAACACAUUGGUAAUCUGCCUCGAGGUUCGGAAUAACCCCUCGAAAGAGGGGCUAAUACCGGAUGUGAUCCGGUAACAUAUGUUACCGGCUGAAAGAUUUAUCGCCUUGAGAGGAACCUAUGGCCUAUCAGCUAGUUGGUGAGGUAAUGGCCCACCAAGGCUACGACGGGUAGCGGGCGUGAGAGCGCGACCCGCCUCACUGGGACUGAGACACUGCCCAGACUCCUACGGGAGGCUGCAGUCAAGAAUAUUCCCCAAUGGUCGAAAGACUGAGGGAGCGACGCCGCGUGAUCGAAGAAGCCCUUCGGGGUGUAAAGAUCUUUUAUUAGGGACGAACAUAUGACGGUACCUAAUGAAUAAGGGGCUGCUAACUUCGU